AUUGAACGCUGGCGGCAUGCUUUACACAUGCAAGUCGAACGGCAGCACGGGCUUCGGCCUGGUGGCGAGUGGCGAACGGGUGAGUAAUGCAUCGGAACGUGCCGUGUAGUGGGGGAUAACGUAGCGAAAGUUACGCUAAUACCGCAUACGCCCUGAGGGGGAAAGUGGGGGACCGCAAGGCCUCACGCUAUACGAGCGGCCGAUGUCGGAUUAGCUAGUUGGUAGGGUAAAGGCCUACCAAGGCGACGAUCCGUAGCGGGUCUGAGAGGAUGAUCCGCCACACUGGGACUGAGACACGGCCCAGACUCCUACGGGAGGCAGCAGUGGGGAAUUUUGGACAAUGGGCGCAAGCCUGAUCCAGCCAUGCCGCGUGAGUGAAGAAGGCCUUCGGGUUGUAAAGCUCUUUCAGACGGAAAGAAAUCGGUGUGUCUAAUACACGCACUGGAUGACGGUACCGUAAGAAGAAGCACCGGCUAACUACGUG
rnacentral:rRNA from 1 species